CACAGAGUGGGCUCAUCAUGGUCUGCUCGCCUGCUUAACGUUACUCCUCACGCUACUAGCCAGCAAGGGCUGGCGUCGUUGACUCUGUGUACAAUAACAACGUUGAACACGGAGUCAGCCAAUUUUACUUUUCAAAUAAAACCCGUUUUUGAUUACCCAGCAUAACUUAUAGGCUUAACAUUGAAUCAGCCAUCUCGGUAGGUUAGCGGCAUUGUCGCAUAACUGCAUUUACCGUUAAGCGAUGUUAAUAUAGAAAUCUUGUUUUGAGGCACAUCAAAUAGUGGCUUCCGCACCGGAAAAAUGUGCAACGUUAAUUAGCUUUCUGUGUCAAGCGUUUCAAGAGAAGUUACCCAGUUGCUAACGUUACCGCGGACAGCUAACUCGUUAGCUUUCCUAGCAGGAUGAAGGCAUCUUUUUCGUUAGCUAACGUUAGCUGUCAAACAUAACGUUAGACAUGCUUCUGCUGGUCACGACAACUUGCCUUUACCAUUUGGAUUCUCAAAGCAGUUGGGAAAAAAUUGCCACCUUGGACGUCCAGAGCCUGAAGAGCCACAUUCCACGCUUGCCGAGACAUUUCCACAGCAGUGAAAAUAUUCCCACUGACCACUGACACCAAGAUCUUCAAGCACCUUCUUCAGCACAGCCACCUGUGAGCGAACAGAGCCACAUCCAUUGAGGAGCUUCUUGUAAUUCUGCUUCACACCACAGAGAGCGAUGUAGCGUUUCAGCCUCACGACUGCUUUGUUGUCAUCCUGUAGGAUGAACCCGAGGACGGAGACGGUGUGAAGAGAAGCUGCAACGUCUGUUCUUCAUCUCUACUCUACAGUUACCCAAUUUACACAUAUGUUUUGGUGAUCCAUUUUCAAAAUGUCAUCUUUGCUUUUCUACCAUUCAUCUUGCACUUCAACUCUCGACUCCUCUCAAAGCACUGAGGGCAAUGAAAGGGACUUAGAUGCACCUUUACUCAAUAUGAAGAGUCAGGAAUCAGGAUAAAGGGCUGGACACUUACAGACACAAUAUUUCAGCCACUCCUUUUUAAUGUAUAAAAAGUUGUAAAUUAAAUGAUUAACUUCUUGCUUUUAUUUAAUACUUCCUGCCGUUUGCUGCAGAAGAUAAAAAUGUUACAAAGCUCGA